GAGCACAGGAACACAGGAGGGAAACAAAGUGCAGACAGACCACAAACAUCCAGAAAACACAACAAAAGCAGACAGAAAUGUCAGAACCACGACAGCUUUAGAGGAGUUGAUGGUCACAUUUACUUGUUUAUAGAGACAUGCCAGCUGUUUCCACAUGUUAUCAGUCUCAGCUAAACUAAAGCUCAAUUAAGAUAACCUUCCUCUUACACUAUCAGUUUACUGACUGAGGACAGGACUCAGGCUUUCUCUUGUUUUAUUUAGAGAAUGAUGAUAUUUUUCUGAUGCAUGUUGACCUGGAGAUAAAAUUCAGUCAGUUCACAGUGAGGUCAGUGUUGAUGAAGUGAUCCAGCAGGGGGUGAUAUAGACCUGUUAAUGAGGACAAAGUCAUGUGAGAUCAUAAAGAUGCAGGAUGUUUAAAAUGAGGAGAAGAAAUGUAAAACAGCUCAAAGUCUAAAUUUUCCAGAUGGACUUUAAAGUGUCACAUGAUCCUCAAGAUGAUGAGCUGUCACUCCACCUCACCUCCUCUGUGUCUGUUUCACAUCAACAGAGAGUCUGAACUGUUUCCAUGCACUCACACUGAAAACUGCAUCAGGAUGAUGUCGCCAAUAACUCUGAUUGUCAUGUUGGGUUUUCUGAGUCAGGAGUGUUCUGCAAACAAUUUCCUGACUCAGGCUGACAAAUCCAAGUCUGUUAGUCUUGGAGGGACUGUGACCAUCAGAGCCACAGGGAGCUCAAAUAUUGGUAGCACUCUCAGUUGGUACCUUCAGAAACCUGGACAGGCUCCCAAACUCCUGAUAUAUUAUUCAUCAAAUCGCUUCUCUGGAACUCCGUCUCGAUUCAGUGGCAGUAGAUCUGGUUCUAGCUACACUCUGACCAUCAGUGGAGUUCAGGCUGAAGAUGCAGGAGAUUACUACUGUCUGGGCUACCAUGGCAGUGGAGUGUUCACACAGUGAUUCAGAGCCGUACAAAAACCUCCCUCAGUCUGACUGAAGUGAAAACGGCCUGCUGCAGGUGCAGAGGGUUGGUGAAGAGACUGUGAUGAGGAGAACUGGUCCAGUGAACACAAGAGUCAUCAAGCAGAACCACAAUGAACCUACAUAAAACUGAAACAGACUCACAGACACUCUUUAGUAUACAGUUUUAAACUCUAAGUUCUUGUAAAUUCAUCAGUGUCUUUAUAAAUAAGAUGUGAAAGUUAAACUCUUGUUGGACUAUAACCAGGUAUGUCAAAAAAUCAUUCCUGAUAGCAACACAGUGUGAAAUAACAACAGUCCGUGUAGGAACACAUUUUGUGUUUUAUACUUUAUACUCCUAAUUUGAUUAAUCCAAAUGAAUUCAUAGCCAAAAUGUAUCAUUUUAUUUUUAAUUGCCAGAAAGAAAUUAAAAAACUAAU